UACGGAGGAUCCAAGCGUUAUCCGGAAUUACUGGGCGUAAAGAGUUGCGUAGGCGGCAUUGUAAGCAGAUAGUGAAAUCGUGUGGCUCAACCAUGCUCACAUUAUUUGAACUGCAAAGCUAGAGGACAAGAGAGGUCACUGGAAUUCCCUGUGUAGGAGUGAAAUCCGUAGAUAUAGGGAGGAACACCGAUGGCGUAGGCAGGUGACUGGCUUGUUCCUGACGCUCAGGCACGAAAGCGUGGGUAGCAAACGGG
rnacentral:misc_RNA from 1 species